UACGUAGGGUGCGAGCGUUAAUCGGAAUUACUGGGCGUAAAGCGUGCGCAGGCGGUUUUGUAAGCCAGAUGUGAAAUCCCCCGGGCUUAACCUGGGAAUGGCAUUUGGGACUGCAAGGCUUGAGUGCGGCAGAGGAGACUGGAAUUCCUGGUGUAGCGGUGGAAUGCGCAGAUAUCAGGAGGAACACCGAUGGCGAAGGCAGAUCUCUGGGCCGUAACUGACGCUGAGAGCGAAAGCAUGGGGAGGCGAACGG
rnacentral:rRNA from 1 species